GAUGAACGCUGGCGGCGUGCCUAAUACAUGCAAGUCGAGCGAACAGACGAGGAGCUUUCUCCUCUGACGUUAGCGGCGGACGGGUGAGUAACACGUGGAUAACCUACUUAUAAGACUGGGAUAACUUCGGGAAACCGGAGCUAAUACCGGAUAAUAUAUUGAACCGCAUGGUUCAAUAGUGAAAGACGGUUUUGCUGUCACUUAUAGAUGGAUCCGCGCCGCAUUAGCUAGUUGGUAAGGUAACGGCUUACCAAGGCAACGAUGCGUAGCCGACCUGAGAGGAUGAUCAGCCACACUGGAACUGAGACACGGUCCAGACUCCUACGGGAGGCAGCAGUGGGGAAUAUUCCGCAAUGGGCGAAAGCCUGACGGAGCAACGCCGCGUGAGUGAUGAAGGUCUUCGGAUCGUAAAGCUCUGUUAUUGGGGAAGAACAAAUGUGUAAGAAACUAUGCACGUCUUGACGGUACCUAAUCAGAAAGCCACGGCUAACUACGUG
rnacentral:rRNA from 1 species